UACGUAGGGCGCGAGCGUUGUCCGGAAUUACUGGGCGUAAAGAGCUCGUAGGUGGUUUAUCGCGUUGUUCGUGAAAACUCACAGCUUAACUGUGGGCGUGCGGGCGAUACGGGCAGACUGGAGUACUGCAGGGGAGACUGGAAUUCCUGGUGUAGCGGUGGAAUGCGCAGAUAUCAGGAGGAACACCGGUGGCGAAGGCGGGUCUCUGGGCAGUAACUGACGCUGAGGAGCGAAAGCGUGGGGAGCGAACAGG
rnacentral:rRNA from 1 species